CAGCCGCCGCGGGAAUACGUAGGUGGCAAGCGUUGUCCGGAAUUAUUGGGCGUAAAGGGCUCGCAGGCGGUUUCUUAAGUCUGAUGUGAAAGCCCCCGGCUCAACCGGGGAGGGUCAUUGGAAACUGGGAAACUUGAGUGCAGAAGAGGAGAGUGGAAUUCCACGUGUAGCGGUGAAAUGCGUAGAGAUGUGGAGGAACACCAGUGGCGAAGGCGACUCUCUGGUCUGUAACUGACGCUGAGGAGCGAAAGCGUGGGAAGCGAACAGGAUUAGAUACCCCCGUAGUCCCUGUCUCUUAUAU
rnacentral:rRNA from 1 species